UACAGAGGUCUCAAGCGUUGUUCGGAUUGAUUGGGCGUAAAGGGUGCGUAGGUGGCGGGGUAAGUCAGGUGUGAAAUCUCGGGGCUCAACCCCGAAACUGCACUUGAUACUGCCUUGCUCGAGUACUGGAGAGGAGAUUGGAAUUUACGGUGUAGCAGUGAAAUGCGUAGAUAUCGGAAGGAAGACCAGUGGCGAAGGCGAAUCUCUGGACAGUUACUGACACUGAGGCACGAAGGCCAGGGGAGCAAACGGG
rnacentral:rRNA from 1 species